rnacentral:lncRNA from 1 species
GUGGCUGUUUGGGGAAGAGCCCCUACGAGACAGCUCUCAGGGCUCCAGCGAGCGGCGGGAGGGAAGCCUGCAGGACUCUGUUCCCUCUGUUUAAAGUCUCCAGAUGAUGUCAUGUGUGAACGUCGCCCAGCCAGAGGCAGCCAGAGGACAGGGACUGGUGACAUCCGGGGAAAGGACGCCAGGUGGGGACGGGCCUGCCGGUUUAGCAGACGGUGGCGCCGAGCUGGAGGAUCUUCCUUCUCCUGAAGAGUGACAGUGAUCGCAUGUAAAAGAAUGCAGUGCGGGAUAAAAAUAAAUCGGGGCCAUAAAUAAAGGUGGAAUUUAGAAUUGCUGGAGCAAGUAACGGUGUCUCUCCUCACAGGCGGGCACCUGCGCCUCUACUCGUGGCCAGCCACUGGGGGGCGCCCGCCGCCUCCUCAUCCGCAGGUCUGAACGGAGGGCGACACAGGCCCCUGCCCAGGCCCAGCCUCUGCUUCCCUUCCUGCUGAGGCUCCCUGUCACGCGUGCUGGCAUCUUCCUGCACCUCGUCCUGGGCAGGCGUGACCUCAGGCGCCCAACAGGCUGGGGGAGUGAAGUCAUUUCCAGAACAGCACCCCCAUUAGAAGCCCAGGCUGCUCCUCCCAGUCCCUGUGGGCCCCACAGAAAAAAAGUUGAAUCCAUGCAACAGGUGUGGAACCCCGGAUCACCUGCAUGGCGCCAUCCUUCUCUCUGAACCUCGGGGUCCUUCCUUGUUAAAUAAAGCCAAGAUCUGGAAGAUUGUUUUUAAAUUUUUAAAAUUUUUAUUUGCUUGUUUUUUUAAAGCGGGCCUCGAUAUGUAGUCCAGGCUGCCCUUGAGCUCACUAUGGACCCCAGGCUGGC